rnacentral:rRNA from 1 species
UCGAAGGUAGCAUAAUCAGUAGUCUUUUAAUUGAAGGCUCGUAUGAAUGGUUGGACGAAAUAUUAACUGUUUCAUUUAAAAUUUUUAUAGAAUUUUAUUUUUUAGUCAAAAAGCUAAAAUAUAAUUAAAAGACGAGAAGACCCUAUAAAUCUUGAUAUUUAAAUUAAUUUUAAUUAUAAAGAUUAAUUAAAUUAUAAUUAGUUAAAAUAUUUUAUUGGGGUGAUAUUAAAAUUUAAAAAACUUUUAAUUUUGUUUUUACAUUAAUUUAUGAUUUUAUGAUCCAUUAAUAAUGAUUAAAAAUUUAAGUUACUUUAGGGAUAACAGCGUAAUUUUUUUGGAGAGUUCAUAUUGAUAAAAAAGAUUGCGACCUCGAUGUUGGAUUAA